AUACAUUUAGUUGUGUUUAUACUUAAUUAUAACAAAUGCAAAUGACUACUUCUUGACAACGCUUGAACACAUCAUCAAUCAACCAAUCUCAUCUUCUUCUCUGCAUGGGUUCUUAUCAAUCUACCUCAGCAGCCAUAAACUAAUAUCACGGAAUUUGGAGCUCUUCAAAAUCCCACUUUCUCAACACUUUCUUCCCAAACCUGGUCUAAUGUUGGAUGUGUUUCGAAGCUGGAGGAAAAUUUUGCUUCAGCUCCGACCAACUGAAAGCUUACCUAUCGGAGAAUGAAAUUCGCUGGAGAAUUAUCCUGUUUCAGUUCAGAAAGAAGUGGAAUUCAUUGGCGUAACUGGUAAUUGUAGGUCUUCUGACUCUAAGAAGGAGAACCAAUUAAGAAAUCGUGAAACUUGUGAUGGGGUACCUGACAACAAGAAGUGCCGGGACCAGAAGAAGUUGGUUGCUUGUGUCCAAAGUAAUCUGAUUGGUAAACACCAAGUUUCUUUUGAUUUUUACCAUCCUUUUCCGUUUUCUUCCGACGUGGAUUUUGGUUCCAGUUUCUGCUACUGGAUUUAAUAUUCCUUGAAUCCCCCCAACUCCAGAUUAUUAUUGAAAGUUAUACUGGGAACGAGGCAGUUAUUUGAUAGCAAAGGUCCAUCCUCUAUAUUUUGGAAUUGAGUUGACAUAUAAUAUCCGAUGUGAAGCUUCAAAUAGUUAACAUGUGCUAGGAGCAUGCCAGUAAUGAUUUUUCCUUUCUUAAUUCAAUAACAUCACAUCAUAAUCUUAACGAUUUUUAAGUUUUGGUCUACAGAAUCAUUUGAUCGAAUUUCACUAUACACAAAGGUUUAUUAUACGGUAUCUGGUAGCUUAAUUAUUUGUUUUCCUGAGUAAAUUUCCAACGAGUAUUUAAACAUAGGAAAGGUCUUAGAUCUCACUUUUCCUUGCCAUGACAAGGGAGCAAGUUUUUGUUAGUUUACCAUUGAGGAAGUAAGAAAAGGCAGGAAAAAAUGAGUACAGAUUCUUCUCUUAAAAGUGCUUUCUCAAUAAAAAGUUGUUUUGUCUCCUUCCUUUUGUGCUAAUUUCUUCAACAGAGGAUGUGGGAGACACAAAUAAUGUAAACCCUAGAAUCCAAGAAUCCCGAAGUCAUCUGAGAAACUCAAGAGGAGUUUAGGGAUUGAUGUUAGUUGGAGAAAAAUGGAUUAAGAUUGAUGCUUUAAGAAAGAUCGGAAAAGAAUUUUAUUAAGAUUUGAUGGUUAAGAUCAAGUGUUAUGGAAGAUGUGUCAUAGUUUUUAAGAAAAGUGUCAUUCAAGCUAAGGAAUGUUUGGAAAUUGGCUAGGGGCUGUUUGCCCCUAGGAUUAGAGAGCAGUGGCUCCAUGUUUGGCCCUAGUAUUGUCAGAUCCUAGUAUUAUGAUAAUACUUGUUCUCACUUCCCUUCCUCCUCUUCCUCACACUCCCUCUCUCACUAAGCUCAAAAUACCUACCAAGUAAAAGUAUAAGGCCAAGCCAAAGUGGAAAUCCCAAUAGCAGCCACUACAAAAAGAAGCAAUGCCGACAAAAGAGGAGAUAAUAAUCUACACCCUAAACUAUAAUCCUUAAACUAUUAUAAUCUUCGGACUAUUAUAAGUCAUUCUUCACCUCAAAUGCCCCCUAAGUGUUUAACAUACUCAUAGGCUACCAAGAAAGUCAUAAGAACCUCCAAAGACAUAAGUUGAGCGGCCAAGAAAGAUUAUUUUGGUAUGGUCGAGAGGUGUCAAGAUAACCUCUAUAGGACAAGACUAGGCGGCCAAGGGCAUGCUAGGUGAGCAAGACAUUUUGGCUAAAAGAUUAGCUAGGCGAGGAAGAAGUGCUAACUAGGCGUUUCGGAAGUGUAAAAAAACCUCUAAAGGGGUUAGCAUGUGGUCCUAGCUAUGCGGCCAAAAGGUUAUGCAGCCAAAAGGGCCAUGCGGCCAAAGGGGUGUCAUGCAGCCAAGGACAUGUCACCAAAUGCUAAUCUUGGAACAGCAUGUUUUGUUAAAGGUAUCAUGCUAUGAUGGAGAGGUUAGGGGAGCAAGAGGAAGUCCUAGGUGCUCUAGGCAGCAAGAAUUUACUAAAGAACCCUUAUGAAAAAAGGGGUAGGCGGCCAAAGGAUGGCCUAAGCAAUAUGAGCUAAGAGAUGAGAUGGAAAACAAGUGGACAACAUGCAAGAUACCUAAGUUUUUCCAAGUAGGAGGUGUAAGGUAAGCAGCAUGAGGUGGGAAGUGCGGUAUGGGGGAUAAGAGGUGUCAAUCAAGGAGAAUGCAAGGAUCACUAUAUAAAGAAAAUUUUGGAUGAAUGGUAUUCACAAACCACUCGUGCCAAUUGGGUAAUUCCACUUAGAAAAUCUCCUAAUUAAGUCUAGUAUUAAGGGAAGGGCUUCCAAGAAGAAAAGACACCGAGAAGGAAGGCAUUGAAGUGAAGGAAGACUCAAAGGUCAUUUUUUAAGGAAAAUUGGGAAGUGCUGAGUAUUUUGGAGCUACAUAACUCAAUACUUGGAAUUUUUUGCUGAAAUCUUGAUUUGAGUUAUAGAUUUUAAGUUAUUAAGCUCCAAAGUCAAGUUAAGUUUGUGGUCGAAAAUCAAAUUUCUGGGCAAGGCUAAGGGUGGGCCGAGUGCCAAGAUGACAGGGAAAGAUGGUCAUGCAAAUUAGGCAUUAGAAGUUAUUUAGGCCUUAGCUCAUGCAAGGAGCAUGUCCACCGCAUGGCCAGGCGGCAUGAGGCGCGUGCCUAGGCCAUUCAAGGUGUCAUGCGCACAUAGACAAGGAAGUCAAGCGCAACUGAGGACACAGAAAGCACACGGCAUGCAUGAGGCACGCAUCGCAUGCGCGAAGCAUGCAUCAUGCCAUGGUUGCGAGGUUGGCAUGAGGGCAAGCCUCUAGGCCUUCGCACGUGCGUUCAACUUGCCACCCAUGCCCUGUACACCAGCCAAUCCACAUGACAGUUUUGGACAUGUUUUGAUGUUUUGGCAAUUUUUGCUUGGAGUUUUGGUAUCUUUUGAUUAUUAGGGAUGAAAUGGAGUAUAAAUAGCCUAUUUUGAAGAAAAGUGAAGUUUGGUGAAUUUUUCCAAGAUAAGGAGAAAAGCUUCAAGUUUGUGAGUGAAACUUGUUUUAAAAGAUGUUCAUCAAAUAUGAUUUCAAGUUCCACAGGCAAUAGCUUGUGAAUCACUUGCAUUAAAUGAUUUCUGAGGAUAUUUCUAAGCUUGAUUUAUUAUGUAUAAUUUCAAGAGCCCAAUGCAGAAAAAUGCAUGUUGGGCCUUUGAAACAGUUCUAAUCCUUUUGAUAAUAAGCUUGAUUUACCAAGUUUUUUUCUCUCCUCGCUCACCUCUCUCUCUAUAUGUGUAUGUGUAUGUAUGUGUAUAUAUUAGGCACUGUGAAGGAUGAAAAGUAUAAUUAAAAUGACUGCAGUGAUACUGUUAAAAGUGUGUGAUGUCAGAUGUGAUGCUUAACAUGAAAAAAGAGUAUUGUUGGUUGAUAACUAGUCAUGCACCUUUACGUUGGUAAUUAGAGCAAGUUCUAAUUUCUGAUGAAAAUGGUAUUGUGUAAUUCAAAUCCUGUGGGUCGGCACUAGCCUUCUCUAAGUAGAGGAACAUGGUAGUUUAAUGAAAGAAAUUAGUAGUUAUUGAGAGCAAUCAUUAAUAUUUUUUAAUAGCUCUUUUGUCAAGAAAAAGAAAGGCACCAAGCAUUCACCCCUCUGGAUUUUCUCCCUUCAUUCCCACUGAUCUAGGUAAUUAUGUUUUGAAAUAUCUAUCACCAGAAUAAAACUCUUGAAACCUUCUUGUUUUAUCUAAAUAUUGUAUCAUCCCAAUAUUAUGAGAUGCCUUGUGCAUAGUAAGAUAUUUACUUCCUAUCUCUGGCCCAAAUUCAAUAUUUGACUUGAAUUUUAUGUGGAACAACGAGAAAAGGGAAGUAAAUUCCUGCAACUGUGUAGAAUUUGAUAAAAAAAGAGCACGUUUUCUCAUAGUCAACCAUGAAGUGGUAGCAUAAUAAAGUUUUAUGCAGAAUUUUAUAGAAAGGAGCAUGUUUGAGAUAGAACGGAAAUAUCACAUCCCCAAUAGUCCGAUUUUGAAAAUCUAAAACCCUAAUUAUGGAUUUUUCAACCAGGAAAAAGAUGUAAAUAUAAGGUAAUUAUGAGUUUCUUAAACUGAUAGGGUUGCUUAAUUUCUGAUAUAUCAUAUUGUCUAAUAUUAAUAGUUAAUGAGAAUACCCUUAGCCCUUAUGCUUGCAUUUUUUUUCCUUGCUGAAAAGUCCAGAAAUUGGGCUGUUCUAGUCCUGAACGAAGGAGAAGAUACGUUAGAAGUGAAUGCCACCAGAGGAAACUUUUGAGAGGGGCUUAAGAUUUUAAAACUUCAACGAAAAGGAUCACCAUUCCUCAGACGACUGAUAAUAAGCAGGAAGCUGAUAUUAGAUGAUGGAAAUGGAGAGUGCGUGCUUUACACAAGACCUCUUGUAUCUGGAGAAAACUUUUUCUGCGUCUACCCUCAUUAGACCAGCUAGCAACACCAGUAACCGGUGCGUAUUUCCUAAUUAUUACAGUCCUAAUCUUUGAGGUUCUUGGGCUUGCUGCAAGUUUAGUAGGAUGCAAGCAGGUGGUAUCCCAUAUCAAGAGCUUGAAAUGGCAGUGCCAGAAUCUUCCUCGGCUUGAAACGGCUGAAGGUUGGGAUGAUGAUUGGGAUGAAUAAAAAUUCUGUGAAAUCACCAGGGAGGCCUCAUAUUGGGAACAUUUCAGCUAAUGGCCUUACUGCUAGGUCCAACAAAGAUGGGCGAGAGAAUGAUUGGGAUGUUUAGUUAAUGAAACAGGGUGAUAAGAAAACAAACUUCUGGUCUAUCGACAAACUGGAAGGCAGGAAGAACAACAACGCGAAUCAUAUAAAGUUGCCCUGAAGUUUCCCUAGUUGAGUGUAACUGUAAACCUUCUUCCUACAUCUGAUUAGGUUAUAGAGUUUGUACUUGUAGCCGUCGCAUAUUGGGUCAGAAGCCAUAAAGCUGUUUCAUACCAAAUUUUGGGUUUGUUUUGGUGCGAUGUAGCAUGCAUCAUAGCUUUUUGUGUCUUUUUUGAAUUUUUACUUCUUUAGAUAGCAGUUCCAAUUUUUUCUUUAUGAUAGCUUUACAUCAAAUAAAUGUUCAUGCGAGCUUUCAAAUUAUGAUUGGGUUUGCCAUUGCAAAACUUUGGUAAGAGAACCAUAAAUGAUACAGUACACAUGCUCAUGUGCGUGCGUCCGUAUCUUUUUGGGAAUGGGGAACAGUUUCUCUCUCUAUGGUUACUGUGUAAUAAUUUUGAAUACACUUCUGAAUUAUAUUUUUUCUAUUGAUUACUGGUAAGCAUUACCUCUAAUGUAUUGUCACGCCUGAAUUUUAUUUUUACCUCCGCGUGCUUCUUUUUCUUUUUAUGCAUGUCGGGAGUAAUUGUGAAACUGCUUUGUUGUCUCUUACUGAAGCAAAAGGGCAGAGAAGGCCGAUUUAAUAAUUCUGUUUCCUACGUUAUUCUGUCUUUUAAAGUUUUGAUUUUUUUUUUUUUUUUGUUUCUUAAUUUUUGUUUCCAAAUAAACAAUGGGUUUUACUUGAACUGCUUACAGGAUUCUUUCCUAUAUAUACACUUUUUAUUAUUAUGGAUAUGUUAUGUAUUGCUACCGCUUCUUCUCCAUUCGUUCACUUAUGGAUGAUUCCUUUUAUGUUACUGCUUCUGCUCUUGGCAAUUACGCAUUUGGAUUGAUUAUUACGAUACAUAAUAACUUCUAACAUGAUUUUGAACAGUUAGUUUCUUUAACUUAAAUCUUUGAUUGCCCCUGCAUUAAGGAAUCAAGAUAAAGAUAAAGGAAGAGGAAUAACGAUGGGUCCCCACAUGAAAUGACAUCAUAUGGAGAAGAAAAAAGGUGUUGCUAUUUUAAAGGGUUGAAAGUGCCAAGGAGGACCCGCAUGUGAAUGGGGGUAUUGAUUAUAUUGAAGGCAUUUUGAAUUGGGUUCACUGUUCACUAGAUUUGGAAAUGGUGCAAACUGCUGAGUACUAGACAGAUUUUCCAUUGGGCACCUAUCUGCAUGCUGCAUCAUUGACGUACAUUCUAAAUUCUAUGGACAAAGAAUAUGGCAUAGGAAACAAAAACAUAACCAAGCAAAAGAUAGUUUCACGCCAUGUUUGAAGGGAUAUACUAUAUGGAAUACUAUGUAACUCUUCAUGGUGAAAUGAAUAUGGUGUGGUGGAACUUUAAGGAAAUGAAUAAAACUACAAGAAAAAUUACAGUAAAAUGUUGUAAAUCAACUCGAUUGAAGUUGAAAAAGCAUUUGAUUCUCCA